rnacentral:rRNA from 1 species
AUUGAACGCUGGCGGCAUGCCUAACACAUGCAAGUCGAACGGCAGCACAGUAAAGCUUCCGGUCUUUAUGGGUGGCGAGUGGCGGACGGGUGAGUAACGCGUAGGAAUCCGUCCUGGAGCGUGGGAUAACCCGCGGAAACUCGGGCUACUACCUCAUGCUAUUGAGAAGUUAAAAGCAUGGGUCCGAAAGGCCUUGCGCUCUGCGGUGAGCCUACGUCGGAUUGGCUAGUUGGUGGGGUCACGGCCUACCAAGGCGACGAUCCGUAGCUGGUCUGAGAGGAUGACCAGCCACACUGGGACUGAGACACGGCCCAGACUCCUACGGGAGGCAGCAGUGGGGAAUCCUGGACAAUGGGGGAAACCCUGAUCCAGCGAUGCCGCGUGUGUGAAGAAGGCCUUCGGGUUGUAAAGCACUUUAAGUGGGGAAGAAAGGUAUCAAGUGAAUAACUUGGUGCGAUGACGGUACCCGCAGAAUAAGCACCGGCUAACUCUGUGCCAGCCGCCGCCGUAA